rnacentral:rRNA from 1 species
UACGUAGGGUGCAAGCGUUGUCCGGAAUUAUUGGGCGUAAAGAGCUCGUAGGCGGUUUGUCGCGUCGGCUGUGAAAACCUGGGGCUCAACCCCGGGCCUGCAGCCGAUACGGGCAAACUAGAAUUCGGUAGGGGAGACUGGAAUUCCUGGUGUAGCGGUGAAAUGCGCAGAUAUCAGGAGGAACACCGGUGGCGAAGGCGGGGUCUCUGGGGCCGAUAUUGACGCUGAGGAGCGAAAGCGUGGGGGAGCAAACAGG